rnacentral:lncRNA from 1 species
UUACUGUGAAAUGCUUACUUACGAGCCCUUAACCAACAAUGCAGAGUUUAAAAAAAACAACGACAGACGGGACAUCUGCUCUACCACAGACACACAUAAACGCAGGUCAGUGACAGAAGUGGUACAGUGAAAGAGAACGAGGAAUCUGGCUCUAGGUGGGGUUUUAAAGAGCUGAAAUGUAAAUACAGAGUCCUUGGUCUGGCUAAUCACUUGAAAGCAUCUCACUAAUGUGUCCUGGCCUGCAUCAUCGGCUCAUCUGCUAUCCCUUAGACCUGGAGACUUCCCUCACCAGGCAUAGUAUGGUGCCAUGACUCCUGGCUCCUGUCCUGAAGCAUCCAAACAUUUAAGCAAUAAGGCCUGAGGUGGU